AAUAAUAAUUGUUUACGAUUUGUAUAUAUUAAUUAACAUAUAAUUAUUACACUGAUAAUUAUUAUAAUAGUUAAUAAAUUUAUAGGUUUAAAAAUCAGAGUUUUAAAGUGGAUAAUAUGGUGCCAGCAUUUGCGGUUAGACUAUACACUUAUUAAAUUUUUAUAGGUUAUUAAUUAUUUUUAUAUAAAAUUAUGUUUGGUGAAAAAUUAUUUUGUUUAAUUUUAUGUUAAUUUAUAUUAAUUUUUAAAAGUGAAAAGGAUUAGAUACCCUUUUAGCAAAAUAAUAAUCCUUAGGAUUAUUUUUAUAAAUAAUAAAAUUUGGCGGCUUUAUAAAUUUAGAGGGGCUUGUUUUUAAUCGAUAAUCCGCGCUUAGUUCUACUUAUCUGAUUUUUAUAUAUCGUUAUGAAAAUAUUGUUUUAUUAUUAAUAUUGUUGAAUUUAAACCAAGGUGUAGAAAUUUUUAAGUGUUAAUUAGCCACAAUAUAUAAUUAUAAACCAAUUAUUAAAAGUUUAGGGGAAUUUAAUUUUAAUAUUAUUUAAUAGUAUGACCAGUUAUGGUGUGUUCAGAUCGCCCGUCACUCUCUUUGAGAUAAGUCGAAACAAAGUAAAUUUACCGGAAGGUGGGUUU
rnacentral:rRNA from 1 species